CUAACGACUCUCGGCAACGGAUAUCUCGGCUCUCGCAUCGAUGAAGAACGUAGCGAAAUGCGAUACUUGGUGUGAAUUGCAGAAUCCCGUGAACCAUCGAGUCUUUGAACGCAAGUUGCGCCCGAAGCCAUUAGGCUAAGGGCACGUCUGCCUGGGUGUCACGC
rnacentral:rRNA from 2 species